rnacentral:lncRNA from 1 species
CGAGUUAUUACAAAUUACUUCAAAACCUUACUAAUAACAUUAAUUGGUAGAAUACGAGUUUCAACAAAGUAUUAUUAAUUAUACAAAAUAAUUAAGACUAGAUGACUCUACAUAUAUAAAACCCCCUUUUCCCGUGUCAUAAUCAGAGCGGAGCUUCAUCAAUACUCGAACACACGACCUGAGAAUCUGGACCCCCAAAGGUCCAGCACAUACACAAAACAAAGAGUUAGCAAAAUAUCCGACUAAGUGCAAGUAACUCGAUUACUAUCCACACUUGAGUAAAUAAAAGGCAUAAGCAUAUACGUUCCUACACAAUUCUAUCUAAUAAGCAUACUCAUUAACAAUAUAGCAUAGCGAAUUAGAUAACAAAUACACACAUAAUUAUCAAAGAAACACUUAUGUUAANNNNNNNNNNNNNNNNNNNNNNNNNNNNNNNNNNNNNNNNNNNNNNNNNNNNNNNNNNAGAAAUGUAUGUCUCCUAAUGCAUAUCUAAUGCAUGUGGUACCAUUCCUUUUUUUGGAUAAACUUAUAUCCCUCUGCAUCUCUCAUUUGCUUACCAAAGCGGCUAUGCAUUUGACCAAUUACAUUGGAUUUCCAACCUUACCAAAGGUCAAUCAUACAACGUGAGUGCAUGAAAUGUUCACAUAGCAAUUAUAUGAUAUUUACAUCUACACAUAUACCAAUAUGUAUGUANNNNNNNNNUAACUAUCAACUCCAUGAUCAAUUAACAAUUCAUAUUAUGAUUCAAUCACAAACAUCAUUGUCACACAUAAUGCAUUUAUUCCAUCAAUCAACAAUCCAAUUAUCAUUGAAUAGAAUACUAGCAUACAUUCCUAAUUAUUCAAUCAUUUGAAUUCACAAAACUCAUUUUAUUUCCAAAUAAUGUUUCUAACAUAAGAAAUUAUUAACAAGCAAGCAUUAUUCCAGAAAACUAACUUCAGAUUCGGAAUCUACACAAAAAACUGUGGAAAAUGGGUUCGGGGUGCAUGAACCAUCGGAAAGUCAACACUCAGUCAACAGUCAACGCAGUCUGGUCAAAGUCAAGGGUCAACAGUCAAACUGUCAAACCAACAGUUGCGUCGGUCAUAGCGUCGAUAAAUUUCGACGCAAAUACCAGUUCAUACUGUAUAAUUAUUAUGCAGAAAAAUUAGCGACGCCAUAGCGUCCAACUAUUCGACGCAAAUACUAUAUUGCAGAUUUUCAGAAAAACGGGUUUUGAAGGUGGGUUUGAUCCAAAAGUGCUUAUUUUCAGCAAAAUCACUUAUUUGAACUUAGGAAAAGCACAUACAUUUAGUACCCAACAUAUAACUCAUAUAAAACAACUUAAACAUAAGUUAAAACACCAAAUCAUCAAGAUUAAUCAUUUAUCUUCAAGUUAUUAGAUUUUGUCAUAAAUCUCAAAACCCACAAUUUUUGCAAAGCUUGAGCAAUCAAUCAAAAGCAAUGACAUCAUAUAUGCAUCAACAAGGAAUAUAAACACAUUCCCAAUUUCCAAAUUAACCACAACCCAUAGAGAUGAAAGAGUUUGGGUAUGGAGAAGAAAUGUUCUUCUCCCCUCUUUAUGAACCAUCUCAAAAUGAAUAAAUUACUACUCUCAUACCUUAUUGAGGUUGGAUUCUCUAGUCCUUCAUCUCCUAGUUCUUCUUCAAUCUUCCCCUCUACUUAGCUUUCCUCUUCAUUCUUUGUUCUUUCUCUUCUUUUCUCUAACUUUCUCUUUAUCUUUAUUUCUUGAGAGUUUCUCUCUCUACC